UUUGAUCCUGGCUCAGAACAAACGCUGGCGGCGUGCCUAACACAUGCAAGUCGUACGAGAAAGUCCGCUUCGGUGGAUGAGUAAAGUGGCGCACGGGUGAGUAACGCGUGGAUAAUCUACCCUUUAGUCUGGAAUAACUUAUCGAAAGGUGAACUAAUACCGGAUAAUAUCCCGAUUUCUUCGGCGAUCGGGAUCAAAGAAGGCCUCUGCUUGCAAGCUUUCACUGAAGGAUGAGUCCGCGUACCAUUAGCUAGUUGGCAGGGUAAUGGCCUACCAAGGUUAUGAUGGUUAGCUGGUCUGAGAGGAUGAUCAGCCACACUGGAACUGAAACACGGUCCAGACUCCUACGGGAGGCAGCAGUGAGGAAUAUUGCGCAAUGGGGGCAACCCUGACGCAGCAACGCCGCGUGAGUGAGGAAGGUUUUCGGAUUGUAAAGCUCUGUCGAGCGGAAAGAAGUGCAUGGUGGUUAAUAUCCAUCAUGCUUGACGGUACCGCUAAAGGAAGCACCGGCUAACUCCGUGCCAGCAGCCGCGGUAAUACGGGGGGUGCAAGCGUUGUUCGGAAUCAUUGGGCGUAAAGCGCGUGUAGGCGGCUGGACAAGUCAGAUGUGAAAGCCCUGGGCUUAACCCAGGAAGUGCAUUUGAAACUGUUCAGCUAGAGUAAGGGAGAGGAAAGUGGAAUUCCUGGUGUAGAGGUGAAAUUCGUAGAUAUCAGGAGGAACACCGGUGGCGAAGGCGACUUUCUGGCCCUAUACUGACGCUGAGACGCGAAAGCGUGGGUAGCAAACAGGAUUAGAUACCCUGGUAGUCCACGCUGUAAACGAUGUUCACUAGGUGUUGGGGGUAUUGACCCUUCCAGUGCCGCAGCUAACGCAUUAA
rnacentral:rRNA from 1 species